rnacentral:rRNA from 1 species
UACGUAGGGUGCAAGCGUUAAUCGGAAUUACUGGGCGUAAAGCGUGCGCAGGCGGUUGUGCAAGACAGAUGUGAAAUCCCCGGGCUCAACCCCGGGAACUGCGUCCGAUACUGGCAGGCUUGAAUCCGGGAGAGGGAUGCGGAAUUCCAGGUGUAGCGGUGAAAUGCGUAGAUAUCUGGAGGAACACCUGUGGCGAAAGCGGCUCACUGGACCAUAACUGACGCUGAUGCACGAAAGCUAGGGGAGCAAACAGG